rnacentral:rRNA from 1 species
GAUGUAACGGGGCUCAAACUGGUUACCGAAGCUGCGGCUGUGCACGCAAGUGCACGGGGUAGGGGAGCGUUCUGUAAGCCUGCGAAGGUGUGUCGAGAGGCAUGCUGGAGGUAUCAGAAGUGCGAAUGCUGACAUGAGUAACGACAAUGGGGGUGAAAAACCCCCACGCCGGAAGACCAAGGGUUCCUGCGCAACGCUAAUCGGCGCAGGGUGAGUCGGCCCCUAAGGCGAGACCGAAAGGUGUAGUCGAUGGGAAACGGAUUAAUAUUUCCGUACCUUGGAUAGCUGCGAUGGAGAGACGGAGAAGGCUAGGUGAGCCGGGCGACGGUUGUCCCGGUUUAAGCAUGUAGGCAGUGGGAUUAGGCAAAUCCGGUCCCACAAUGCCGAGACGCGACGACGACUGCCCUUUUAGGGCGGGAAGUCAUUGAUGCCCUGCUUCCAGGAAAAUCUUCUAAGCUUCAGGCUAUUCGAGACCGUACCCCAAACCGACACAGGUGGUCAGGUAGAGAAUACCAAGGCGCUUGAGAGAACUCGGGUAAAGGAACUAGGCAAAAUGGUGCCGUAACUUCGGGAGAAGGCACGCCGGUGGUAUGUGACGCCCUUCGCGGGUUGAGCAGAAGCCGGUCGAAGAUACCAGGCCCCUGCGACUGUUUAUUAAAAACACAGCACUGUGCAAACACGAAAGUGGACGUAUACGGUGUGACGCCUGCCCGGUGCCGGAAGGUUAAUUGAUGGGGUUAGCGCUUGCGCGAAGCUCUUGAUCGAAGCCCCGGUAAACGGCGGCCGUAACAAUAACGGUCCUAAGGUAGCGAAAUUCCUUGUCGGGUAAGUUCCGACCUGCACGAAUGGCGUAACGAUGGGGGCGCUGUCUCUACCCGAGACUCAGUGAAAUUGAAAUCGCCGUGAAGAUGCGGUGUAUCCGCGGCUAGACGGAAAGACCCCGUGAACCUUUACUAUAGCUUCACAGUGAACUUUGAGCAUGUUUGUGUAGGAUAGCUGGGAGGCUUUGAAACCAGGACGCCAGUUCUGGUGGAGCCAACCUUGAAAUACCAGCCUGACCUGUUUGAGGUUCUAACUUCGACCCCUUAUCGGGGUUAAGGACACUGUGUGGUGGGUAGUUUGACUGGGGCGGUCUCCUCCCAAAGCGUAACGGAGGAGCACAAAGGUGGGCUAAGCAUGGUCG